GGAGCUGUUUAUCAGAGCAGUUACUACACAUGCAGCAAAGUAGCUUAGUUACCAAGAAUGAGAAGAAUUAUAAGCAGGUCUUUAGUUUAGCAGGUUGGGUAUAAACACAGCAGAGAAGGCAGGUUUGAUUAACAGUGUUUGGCUGAAAUUCACACACAUCUUCACAGUUUUGCUCUGCAGCAUCCAUCCAGAUGUCACUAAAUGAGGCGCCUGCUUUCAUCUGGCUUAAAACAAAACUUGACCUAAAUGAAGAAGUCAACAAAUCACCCAACUUUAACCAUCAACAGAGAGCAAAGCGGGUUCCUGUUCCUCACCUGGCUUCCUCUCAUGAUGGAGUGUCCGCACACCCACAGCGGCUAGGACAAUAACUCCAACAGCAGCAAUGCUGCUAAACCAUAAAUAGAGGUACACGUCUGCAAAGCUGCCACUCCGGCACGUCGGCGGAUUCUCUGGCUCGCUCCAGACUCAGCAGAUGCUCGCCGUUAAACUCUGCCACAGUUCCUGCUCUCAUAAAGCUGGAAGAUCAUUCCAAAGAUAGAACGCUACAUCAACAUAUUUCACUGGAACCCAAAAAUAAAAUCAGCUUUGCUGGAUGAACGUC